rnacentral:rRNA from 1 species
UACGGAGGGGGCUAGCGUUGUUCGGAAUUACUGGGCGUAAAGCGCGCGUAGGCGGCUUUGCAAGUUAGAGGUGAAAGCCCGAAGCUCAACUUCGGAAUUGCCUUUAAAACUGCGAGGCUAGAAUUGUGGAGAGGUAAGUGGAAUUCCGAGUGUAGAGGUGAAAUUCGUAGAUAUUCGGAAGAACACCAGUGGCGAAGGCGACUUACUAGACACAUAUUGACGCUGAGGUGCGAAAGCGUGGGGAGCAAACAGG